rnacentral:rRNA from 1 species
UACGUAGGGGGCGAGCGUUGUCCGGAUUUAUUGGGCGUAAAGAGCUCGUAGGCGGUGUGUCACGUCGGCCGUGAAAACCUGCAGCUUAACUGUGGGCGUGCGGUCGAUACGGGCAUCACUGGAGUUCGGCAGGGGAGACUGGAAUUCCUGGUGUAGCGGUGAAAUGCGCAGAUAUCGGGAGGAACACCAGUGGCGAAGGCGGCGAUCUGGGAAGAUACUGACGCUGAGGUGCGAAAGCGUGGGGAGCAAACAGG